GACAGAGGGUGCAAACGUUGCUCGGAAUUACUGGGCGUAAAGCGCGUGUAGGCUGACCUUCAAGUCGGACGUGAAAUCCCUGAGCUCAACUCAGGAACUGCAUCCGAAACUGAAGGCCUAGAGUAGUGGAGAGGGAAGCAGAAUUCCUGGUGUAGAGGUGAAAUUCGUAGAUAUCAGGAGGAACACCGGUGGCGAAGGCGGCUUCCUGGCCAUUCACUGACGCUGAGACGC
rnacentral:rRNA from 1 species